rnacentral:lncRNA from 1 species
UGCAAACCAUGCCUGAUGCAUCCAGCCUGGGGGGAUUCCUUCAAAAUACUUCAAAUGGAGUUCUUCUUAUGUUUUGUCAUCUUCAGAUAGCUGAAAAUGGGUUUCUCUGGUACAGGUAUAGACUUGACGACCCAACCAAUUGGCCAAGAAACAGCUGCAAUUCCAAUACAUGCACCCCAUUGCCCCCAAUUCAACCUCUCUGUAUCUGCAAACUUCUUGAGAAAUUCCACCAUCACCACCUGAAGCAGAAUUGUCACUGCAAUGAUCCCCAGAAACAAUUUGUUGGUGUGAAUUCCCUUGAACACAUUCUUCUUCUCAAGCUUCCUUGCAUUGAACUCAUUGAACACCUGGCACAGCACAAACGUGUUGAAGAUCAAGGUGUCCUUUACCUUGUCAUCCACGCCAAAGAUUGAUUUGCCUCUGAAUUGCAGGGUCAGGAGGAUUGCAAUCUGGUACAGUGCUUGAGGCAAGAGGUUCCUCCACAUGAUGUUGGUGAUGAGAGGCUCAGUCCUUCCCACUGGUUUCUUCUCCAUGAGUUCUUUUGUGGGCUUCUCAGUGGCAAGAGCAAGAGCACCUAGUGUGUCCAUGAUCAAAUUCACCCACAACAAUUGAACUGCUGUUAAUGGGACUUCACCUGCAGAAACUGCUGCUACAAAGUUGAUCACAAGAGCUGCAACAUUGACAGUGAGCUGGAAUUGGAUGAACUUCUGGAUGUUAUUGUAAACACUUCUUCCCCAUUUCAAAACUGUGGCCACUGAUGCAAAGUUGUCAUCCAUGAUCACAAUAUCUGAGCUCUCUUUGGCGACUUCUGUGCCUUGAAUUCCCAUGGAAAGUCCUAUAUCAGCUUCUUUCAAAGCAGGUGCAUCAUUCGUGCCGUCACCUGUCACUGCAACCACAUGGCCUUUCUGUUUCAAGCAUUUCACCAUUAGAAGCUUGUCAAAUGGAGACGACCUUGCCAUUACACAGAUUUUGUCCACCUUCAACAUUCUCUCUUCCGGCGUGUAGUUGCGAAAUUGCACACCUUCUACCACUGCUCCACUGAACAUGUCCUGAUUAGGCUUGAGUAUCCCACAUUCUGCGGCUAUGGCUUUUGCAGUGAAAACAUUGUCACCUGUGAUCAUUUUGACAUUUACCCCUGCAUAUUGACAGUCUCCAACUGCUUUCUUCACCCCGGGACGGCAUGGAUCUUUAAGACCAACAAGUCCUAAUAGAGUCAAUCCAUCUUCUUUUAGCAAAGCUUUGUGGUCUCGUUCAUCCACUUGCUCCUCUGCUGGAAUUUCUUUAUGCGCAAAUGCAAUGCAUCUGAGGCUGCUAGCUGCCAUACCUUGAAUAAUCUGCUCAAAUCUCAUUUUUGCAUUGUCAUCCAUAUUUAUAACAAGUCCAGAGGCAUUGUAGUAACUUGUGCACAUUGCUAGUAUCAUCUCAGCAGCUCCUUUCCAAUGUGCUUGACUUGUAUUGUUGUCAGCCUUCCUCUUCAUCAAAACCCCACUUCGUUUCUUCUGUGAAUUGAAGGCCUCAACGUACAGAAUGCUACAACUCUUCACCACUUUCUGCAUAUCCAUCUUCGAUCCAUGUACCGCCCAUGAAAGAAUAGCCUUCUCAGUAGGACUGCCUGAGAUUUCAAUUUCUGAAUCGGAACUAGGCCUGUAUACACUACCAGUUGUAUUCAGAGCAACCCCUUCUUGGAUCAAAUUAAGAACAUAUGGAGAUAUAGAUGAAAAAGCUUCCUCUGCCACGGGUUCUUCACCCAACCAAAACUUAGUCACCUUCAUUUCAUUCAUGGUGAGAGUGCCUGUUUUGUCAGUACAAAUGACGGUAGCAGAGCCCAUGGUCUCACAAGCAGAGAGCUUCCUCACCAUUGCUUUAUCAACCAUCAUUCUCUUCAUGGAAUAAGCAAGAGUCAGAGUCACAGCUAGAGGCAAGCCUUCUGGAAUUGCCACCACAACAAUUGUAACUGCAGCUGCUACAAUCUCAACGACCGCGUUUAAUAUGUCAUCAACUUUGGUCUUGCUGCCAUUAUACUCCUGAUUUCCAUUCUCAUCCUGUGUAUUUCCUGUGAAGUAUCUAACUGACAAGACAAUGAGCACUAGAAAAGCAACAACCAACCCAACUUUACCAAUUGAUGAAGUUAGCUUGUUGAGGCGAGCUUGUAAAGGCGUCUGUUCAUUUGUGUCACGGCUGAUUUGGCUCAUCAUUUCACCCCAAGUUGUGUUCAUGCCCACAGAAGUUACAAGCAUCCGAGCGUAGCCAUCAGCCACCUUGGUGCCAGAGAACAAGAACGGAUUUUGGGUUUGAUUUAUUUCCACAUGGUCACUUUCCCCCGUCAUGCUUGAUUCAUCUACUUGUAAUGAAUGGCCAUCAAGAAACAACCCGUCAGCUGGAACUUGAUCUCCAAUCUUCAAGCAAAUGACAUCGCCAACAACAAUAUCGAAUAUUGAAAUCUGUUGGCGCCUGCCACCUCUCACAGCUUCAAUUUGGACGUUGUCGCUGACUUUUGAUAACUUAUCAAACUGCCUGUUCUGCCUGUAAUUACUUACAGCCGACACAGAAAUCACCAGAAUGAUUGCGAUAAGUAUGCUUCCACCAUCGAUCCAGCCUUCUUUAAGGCCAUGCACUUUGAUCCCGAGACCAAGAGAGAGUGCAGCACAGCCUAAGAGGAUGAUAAUUGUGAGGUCUUUAAAAGCUUCCCAAACAAAAUGGAAGAACCCUUUUGCUGGUGGCUUCAUGUAUGUGUUUGAGCCAAAGGCUUCAACUCUUUUGGCAAUGUCUUGAGCCUCACCAUAGCCAUGGAUUCCAUGCUCUGCAUCAGUUUUGAGAGCUGAUGCUAUUUCUUCAGCCCCUCCCAGCUCCCGGAGCUGGUUGAGGCUUCUCUCCUUGACAAGGUAAGUGAGGGUGGUUUGAUCAAUUUCAAACUCAUUAUCUGGCUCGACAGUAAGAGUGGCAUAAGAGGGAGAGCGAGGUAUUUUGGUGUUUGUGAAUUUGGGUUUGGAUGGAGAAGAAAGGUUGAAGGCUCUGGAGCAGUAGAUUGUUGCAAAAGCAGAAUGCCAUUUUCUUUGGUGUUUGGUAAGAGUGUUUUUUGGAACAGCAAAAAGCAACGCAAUUUCAAUGCACCCAAGUUUCGCAUGCAGGGUGGUCGACAUGCUGCUGCUCAGCUCAAUUGAAAACCGCAAAACUAAAGAAUGUGAUGAAAACUAAGGCAGAGAGAUGGAAAGACUAUUGUGACCAACUGACUCGCAAGGAGUUAUGGACACAAGAUUGACAAUUCUCAAGGAAAACUGAAAAGUGGAGAAAAUGUUUUGGGGAAUUUUUAAGGAAUUAAAUUGUUUAUAGAAUGCAAUUGUAGUGCGAGGAUCACCACCUUGCAUGAAGAGGCCUACUUAUAGUCUUCUUUUGUAAGAGGAAGACAAAAACAGCAUGUUUCUCAUCGGAAACUUGUACAUGAAGUUGUAGAGAAAGAACUUACAAGGACUAGCAGCAGGCUCCGGGAAACAACCCAGAAAAAAAAGAAGAAAAAAGGACCGCCGUACUUUAUGUCAGCUCUUAAUUUGUGUUCAUAUUUUUGAAGCUGACAUUGGCUUAAUCAAGUUGGCUAGAACAGAUGUGCUUCCCACUCUGUAUCCGAGUUCGGAUCCCCCUUUCUGUAGCUUAGGUUAGUUUAAAGUAAAUUAUCGCUUGAAUGAACAAAGUUUUUUUUGAAAUUGUUUAAUAUAUGAAGGUCGGUAUGAGAAACAAAUUAAUACAUAGAAGGUAUCUUCAGGCUCAAUAUAAUUGUCGGUGAAAGCUCCAAUAUUAAACCGAGUAUCAAUACCGCACCCAGUGGAAUUUGAAAACGCGGUCGACGCACCGUAGCAAUAUUUAUAUUUAAAAAUAAAAAAGAAUAGUAUUUUGGGAAAUUCUUCUCACGUAAACCCCACAACCGAACCAAAUCCACGUGAUUUCAAAUUAUUUACUUUGCAAGACAAAAUUACAUCUCAUUGUAGUGGGGUUUAUAAUGCUUUUUGUUUUUGAGAGGAGGGUUUAUAAUGCUGUAGAGGUUUUUUGGUUUCAAAAAGAGGUUGAGUUUUGUUUUCCGAUCUCAUUCACUGAAAAAUAAACGGAUGUUGUGAGAGAGAGACUAACCGUUAGGUUCCAUUUGGUUCAUGGGAAAUGAGAAUUGGAGAUGGGAAAUCAAUUACUUUCCUAUGUUUGGUAAGUCCAGGCAUAGGAAAUCAUUGCCUAGCCCAUGGGAAAGUAGGAGGAAAAGUGAAGCCAUCUUCCUAACUUGGGUUUUGUUUUUGACUUAAAUGUCGAAAUGGUCCCUAUGUUCUACCUUAUCGGCCAAUUUAGUCCCUGUGUUAUUAAUUUGGCCAAUUUAGUCCCUGUGUUUGUAUAUGUUAACACAUUUGAUCCUUUCUGUCAAAAUUAUGUUAAAACCUAUAAAUAAAUAAAAUAUUUAAAAUUAAUUUAAAAAUCUGUAAUUAAUUAUAAAGAUUGAAACUCAAAUAAUAAUAAUGCUAAAAUGAUUAAAAGCCACACAACCUCAACCUCAAAUGGUCUCGAUUCCUGUAGGAAAAAAAAGGGUUCUUAGUUGAAUUGAUGCCUACUCUUUUCUUGCUGCAAUUUUUCUUCUCUCUUAUGUUUAAGAUUUUCUCAUACUCUACCCUUCAUCUCUCUCUCCUCUUCGAUCCAUUGGCCUGAAUAUCGUUGACUUUUGCUGCAGCGAGGAUGAUCAAUUGGCGGUAGAGCCAUCAAGGUUACGGUGACCGGCUAUGAAGAUCUUCGUGAUUUGUCAGAGAGGAAGCCAAGAGAGAGAGAGAGAGAGAGAGAGAGAGAGAGAGAGAGAGAGAGAGAGAGAGAGAGAGAGAGAGAGAGAGAGAGAGAGAGUUGUUGUGGUUAGGUGGGUGGGUUUGGGAGGUGGCUAUGGUUUGGGGUUGGAGUGGUGGUGGUGAGGGUGGCUGGGUUUGGGAGGUGGUUGAGGUGUGUGGCGAAAUUGGGGAAGGUGAAAUUUAAAAAAAAAUAUUCCAUUUUCAGAUUGAAUUUAAAAUUUUAUAAUCAAUUACAGUUUUUAUUUUAAUUAAUUUUAAAUAUUUUAUAUUUUAUAUUUUGAAGGGAAUGGACCACAUUGACUAAUAUAUACAAACACAAGGACCAAAUUGGCCAAAUUGAUAACACAUGGACUAAAUUGGCCUAUGAGAUAAAACACAGGGACCAUUUUAACAUUUAAGCCUUUGUUUUUCUCAUCAUGGGAAAGUUUGGAGAAAUUAACCAAUAUUAAAUACACAUUUUUCAUGACCAUUUUGUCCCCAUUAUGAGUAUAAUUGAAAAUUUAUACAAACUUUGUUUCUCAUUCCUACUCAAAACAAACAUGGGAAAGGAAAUAAAAAGGAAACACAUACACAUCACUCUGAGCCAAAGAAAUCAUACGUCACUAAAAAGAAGUAAGUAUGACGCCUUCAAAACUUCAAUAGGAGUGGUUAAAUGCAUAUUUUACGGCAAAGAUUCAAAUUGUGGACUUGACUCAAGUUAAAGUCAUGCACAAAUUAGAGCAACAAUGCAGUGGCAUAAAAUAAAACGCAAAGAAAAGAGCUCUUUAACUCGGACCGACGAAAUAGGAAAAUAUUAGGAAGAUCAUAUUUAAAGACCAUCUUGUGUAUCACAUUUCUAAUAGAUGUGGAUUAAAAAUAUUCAAUUUUAAACCUUAAACCCUACAAUACUCAAUUUUAAAUUAAAAAUAUAAUUAAAGAUAUAUAGAAAAUAGAGGGAAAAAGAAGAUGUUGACGUCGAGUAGCUGAGAAAGAGAGAAACAAGUUGAUAUCGCAUAGCCAAAAGAGAAGGAAAGAGAAGAUAUUGAACCACCUAGAUAGGCAACUGUGUGUAGAGUUUGCUUUUUAUUUUUAUUUUUAUUUUGGGCUAGGCUUAUAACAUAUGUGGGUAUUUUUUAUAUUUUAUUUUUUAAUUUGGGUUGAACGAGCACCCAACCUGCCCUAUGCACAUAACCACCCAUGUGUGGAACUCACUGUAUUGGUGGGCUCCACUUUUACUAGAGAGAUGAUACAUAAUGUGGUCUAAAUGUAUUCUCCCUAGCAUGACCUGACCAAAUAACACAGUAAUUACAUGCCACUUGUCUUCAAUCCGCAUGAGGGGCGACAAACAUGCAACGUGUACCAAGCGCCAGAUCCAAGAAUUUCUCCAUAAUUAAGGUGUUGCGGAUGGUUCAACUAAAUUUUAAGUCUACAAGAGUCUUGGGGUCAACUUAAAUGUUUUAGUUCAAUUUUUCGUACCAAAUUGUUAACAACCUUCACCUGAAAGUGUGAUAGAAAAUACAAAGAAUGUAUGGUGAGAAAGAAUGGUAUAAGUAAACUACUCUUAUUAUGCCAUAAAGCAAGGUAAUGAAUUUCUUUGUCAACCAGACAAUUAUUUUGUUUUCUGAUGUUGAUGCUCAAAAUGGCCCGGCCAAUAGUGAGUCCAACUUAGUGAUGAGGUGUGAUGGAUGAUGGAUGAAGGUGAGGAUCUUCACCAAGUGUGUGAGGAUUUGGGCAAACGAUAAACAUAUGGAAGACAAGAUAUACGUGGUUCACCCGAAUGAUAGGCUACGUCCACGGAGAAGGGUGUUCUCAUUAUGAUAAUGUUUGUUUACAUUUGUACAAGGGGAUUAGACCCAAAUAUAAAGAUAACAAGUGAGAAGCCCAGUCUAGUGAUCUAGAAGAGAGAGUCCAAGGCCUAAGGGUCUAGAUCCAAGACCCGGAUCCCCCUCUAAGGAAAGAGCAGUCUUCUUUUAUAGGUGAGGGGGAGUCCAUCUCUUGUAGUUUUCCGAUGUGGGACUCCUCUUACUCUGCUUAGAGUUGUGAUUUGUGGUGGUGCUUCUUGGGCUAAGGUGAUGACCUCUCAAAGCAUGGCACGUGGAUGAUCUAGCCUAGCUAGUUGCUCGGUCAGUUACGGUACCAACAGUAGUCCCCCAAGUUCUCGAGUAAGAAGGUACUUCUUGGUUGGGGACUUGUAAUUUUAAGUGCACUGGCCGAGCAACACCAUAGUUCAUCUUCCAAGCUGUAUAGUGCACUACCCAUAGUCCCCCAAGUCCUCGGGUAAGAAGGACAUUUGGAAGGGAGAGAACUUGGCACGAGGGUGCCGAAGGUGAAGAGGUAGCCGAAGGGACAAAGUUGCAUGUCUCAGGGUAAUGUGGUUGGGCACGAGGGUGCCGAAGGCAUAUGAAUUGCAUGUGUCAAGGCGAUGGGCUUAGGCACGAGGGUGCCGAAGGUGACACUAAGCUUGCAUGUUUGCAAGGCAAUGUGUUUAGGCACGGGGGUGCUGAAGACAAAGAGAAUGUCGAAGGAGACAUGAAGCUUGCAUGUCACAAGGCAAUGUGGCUGGGCAAGAGGGUGCCGAAGGCACAAAGCUUGCAUGUUGCAAGGCGAUGUGGCCUAGGCACAAGGGUGCCGAAGGCAUAAGACUUGCAUGUUGCAAGACAAUGAAGCUAGGCACGGGGGUGCCGAAGGCAAAGGGGAUGCCGAAGGCACAGAGCUUGCAUGUCGCAAGGCAAUGUGCCUAGGCACGAGGGUGCCGAAGGCAUAAGACUUGCAUGUUGCAAGACAAUGGAGCUAGGCACGGGGGUGCCGAAGGCAAAGGCGAUGUCGAAGGCACAGAGCUUGCAUGUCGCAAGGCAAUGUGCCUAGGCAAAGGGGAUGCCGAAGGCACAAAGCUUGCAUGUCGCAAGGCAAUGUGUCUAGGCACGGGGGUGCCGAAGGGGACACAAAGCUUGCAUGUCGCAAGGCAAUGUGCCUAGGCACGAUGGUGCCGAAGGCAGAAGAAUUGCAUGUCGCAAGGUGGUGGGCCUAAGCACGAGGGUGCCGAAAGCAUCACAAAGCUUGCAUGUCGCAAGGCGAUGUGGCUAGGCACGUGGGUGCCGAAGGCGACACAAGGCUUGCGACAGCUUGCAUGUCGCAAGGCGAUGUGGCUAGGCACGUGGGUGCCGAAGGGGACACAAAGCUUGCAUGUUGCAAGGCCAUAUGCUUAGGCACGGGGGUGCCGAAGACAAAGGGAAAAAUGUAAGAAUGCAUUUUUUUUUUUUUUGAAUGGCCGGGCCAUUUUGAGAGAGCUUGAAGGUUUUCUUGAAUUGGGCCUUCAGCAAGUAUGAAGGGCUUGAGGUGGGCUUCGGCAGGUAGGGUUUUGGAGGAGGGGAGUAUGUAAAUAAGGGGUGGCCACCAUGCCGUUCGGCAGUUCUCACUUCGGCACUUUGGGGUAGAAAGUCUUGGAGUGUGCUAGGUCUCCCUUUCCGUGUUGGGUCUAGGUUUUAGUCUAGCAGUUCAGCAAGCGUGAUUCGGCAGGUAGCGUUGGGCUUAGCAGCUGGUUCGGCAGGCGGCGAGGCAGCUGGUUCGGCAGGUGUGGUGCUGAGCCGAUCGGCAGGUUCUGGCCAAGGUGCAGUUGAAGUGCUGCUGAGAUCAAAGGGGAGCCGCGACUGAUCUUGCCGUUCGGCAAGAGGCUUGGGUCGAAGGGGCUGGGCAGUUGUCUAGGCAGGCUAUUCUGUCCGAGGAGGUUGAAGUGCUGCCGACUGGUCUUGCCGUUCGGCGAAGGACUUGGCGGCGGCUGAGUGGUCCCGCGGCUGGAGGCUUCGGCAGGGGUGGUUGCACCUUCUUGAUUCCGUAAGUCCCCACUUGCUUCCGCGUUCCCCUUGCCGAAUGGCAAGGGAGGGUUGAAAGUUUUUUGAGGUCUCCCCUUCGUGAGAGCUGGGUGCUGUUUGAAAUUCGGUAGGUGGCUUGAGCAAGGAUUUGUCGUUCAGUGGCACAGCUUCAGCACCUGGGUUUGAAGCUUUCAAGAACCUUCAGCGUGGGACCUGCCGAUCGGCAAGUGCCCCUUGUGAGUUUGGGAAACACCUACCUUUCGGCAGGGCCUGGUGUCUUCAACCCUUGCCGAACGGCAGGAGCCGUCUGGAGGAGAAAUUUGGGGACCGCUCAAGGGAAAUCUUUCACGGGACCUACCGUUCGGCAGCACACACCCAGCACGGGUUGUUUUGGCAGCACACCUUCGGCAGGUUUGGAGAAGAAUUUCGGGUAAGGGCCUUGGAGCUGAGCUACUGCCGUUUCACAAGAGAGCUGGGCAAUUGAGGCUUGGCUUUCGGCAAAGAGUUUUAGUUUCGUAGCCGGGGCUGGGCCCUCUGAAUUUUGGUCGUGUGCUCUUUUAUUUCUGCUCGACCCUUGCCGUUCAGCAAGUGUGGGAAAAUUGGGAAAUAUUGAGGUCACGGCAAGGCCAUUUUGAAUUGUACUCCCGUUUAGCAACCUCAAUCUUAAUCGAGUGGUCUAUUGUUGUGUCUAGCAGGAGCUGGGUAUGAAACAAUUUGGCGAAACUUUGAGGCUGAGCCUGUGAAGGUUGGCGAAAAUUUGGAGCGGAGGAAGUCGAGAGAACUUUAGGGUUUAGGGUUCUUGGGUCUGUGCAAUUGGCUUCAGUCAGCUCACUAGCUCCGUUCGGCAAGAGUCUAUCACUCGGGUCUUGUGAGUUUUGACUUGAAGGUUGAGCACCGCUCAUCUCAAAGGAAAGCUGCCCGGGUCAAUCAGUUUGAUGUUUUCUUCUAUGCUUGUUUGAAAAUUUUGGUCAAUUGGCUUCAGAGACCAAUCUGUAGUAACUAAUGUGCAAGAGGUGAGGUCCACCACUUUCUCUUGGAGUGGAAUUUUGGAACUGCUUCUUCAGCUUUGGACGGAAGCUGUUGCCCGCUUAAUGGGGUGGUGAAAAGAGGGGAUAUUCAAAUGCUAUGAUGCCUUGGGAGAUAUGAUUAGAGAUUGCCGUGCGGAAUAUUGGUACCCUCGGCAUGCCGGAUCCAAGUUAUCCUCUGUUGAAGACAUUAUGGGUGUCUUGAGAAUUUUUAGGUGGCUAGACAGAUCGGUGAGAGUGACAUGGUGCCUCAAAUAUGAGAUAAAUCUUUAGUUUGGAGAUGAGCGACUGCAGAUGAGGUGCCAUUUGGUAGUUUGCAUGAGCCUUGCUUCAGAUACGAUAACUUCUACUUCUACUUCUUGGGGUGUCCUGCGUUCAGAAUUUUUGAAUUUGCUGUUUUGAGCCGGGCCGCGCAGCGGUGGUCUGGGCUCUAAUUGGGUCUUUUGCAAGACGUUUGACAAAGUGGGUGUCUUGAUAAAUUCAGUAGUUGGGUGAUGUAAUUAGAGGUGGCCUCCUGUCUUGACUUGGACAUCAUGCAUAUCUUGAGCAAUUGAUUGAGACAUGGUGGGUCUGUUUAUGUGUAUGAGAUUUGCUUCAGAUGUAGCUUGUCUAAGAUACUUGGAUUUGGUUGUGCCGAAAAGAGUUUGGGCAUUGGGUGUUGUACAGCACUUGCAACUAGUUUUGUCUCCUGGAAGCGAACCACGUGGGCAUUGGGUACCCAAUAUUUUGCCAAAGACGUGUAGAAUAUACAAGGGCCCCCAAACUUUCUUCUUCAAAGAGGUGCCGAAUGGCACUUUGAAUUGAGAUGGUGGUUUGACCAUGCAAGCCAUGCAAGACAUGAAAAGGGUAGCUACAUUCUGAAUGGCUAAUAGAUUAGUGGACUUGUACCAUUUAUGUCGGCAAAUGAGAAUAAAAUAAAGACACAAGAUGAGAAAUGGAGAUCUUAUCUUUUGGGAGCCCACUCAUCAAUAUUCACCAAAGGUGCCGAGCGGCAAGGCAUGUAAAGGAAAGCUAGGGUGGCCUACAUAUUUCCUCUUCUUCUAGAUUAUUAUAUUGCAAGGAUUCAUCUUCUGCAUCACUCUUGUCGGACAGCAAGUUAGGUGAUGUUGAUUGUAGGGGUGCCGAAGGCACUGAAGAAAGGGAAGAACGACAGAAAUCUUUUGUGUCGAUUCCCACAGACGGCGCCAAACUGUUGAUGCUCAAAAUGGCCUGGCCAAUAGUGAGUCCAACUUAGUGAUGAGGUGUGAUGGAUGAUGGAUGAAGGUGAGGAUCUUCACCAAGUGUGUGAGGAUUUGGGCAAACGAUAAACAUAUGGAAGACAAGAUAUACGUGGUUCACCCGAAUGAUAGGCUACGUCCACGGAGAAGGGUGUUCUCAUUAUGAUAAUGUUUGUUUACAUUUGUACAAGGGGAUUAGACCCAAAUAUAAAGAUAACAAGUGAGAAGCCCAGUCUAGUGAUCUAGAAGAGAGAGUCCAAGGCCUAAGGGUCUAGAUCCAAGACCCGGAUCCCCCUCUAAGGAAAGAGCAGUCUUCUUUUAUAGGUGAGGGGGAGUCCAUCUCUUGUAGUUUUCCGAUGUGGGACUCCUCUUACUCUGCUUAGAGUUGUGAUUUGUGGUGGUGCUUCUUGGGCUAAGGUGAUGACCUCUCAAAGCAUGGCACGUGGAUGAUCUAGCCUAGCUAGUUGCUCGGUCAGUUACGGUACCAACAUCUGAUAACCUGGUGCUUUGCUUCAGCAUUCAACAACCUUUGGUAGGAACUGGGCAUUUGCAUGGUUGCUUAAGAAUAAAUUGUCUAGAAUUUUUAGAUCAAGUUGUUUGACUCCAAAUGUGAAGGCUCAAAAGUAAACAAUGGGAAGAAUUACCUACGUCAAACGCAACAAUUAUGCCAUGGUGUGAAUCUGAACCACAAAAGAGAGAAAACCCCAAGGCCCUGUUUGGUGGCCAAGACUGGACACGAUUGGACUAGAUUAAACUUCUAGGAUUGGAUUGGUUAGGACCAGUCAAGAAUCCUGUCCAUGAUUUGGUGCAACACCAGUCUGGACCAAACUAAAAAAAAAAACAGAAAAUUCGAAAAUUAUCAAAAAAAUCUUCAGAACUUUGAACUUCAUCACACAAAAAUUAUCAGGGGAAGAGAGGAAGAUUCAUAAACCCUAAGCACCAAAUAUUACAAAAUAGAGAAAGAGGGGAAGAUUCUCAUAAACCCAAUCUAGGAGAUGCAAAGAUUCUCAUAAACCCAGUCUAUCAGAACAUUGAAUUUCACACAAAAAUCAUCAGAUUAAUAUGAAGAUUUUCCCAGACAAGGAGAGAAAAAAUCAAAGAUAGAGAAUAGAAGAGAGGUGCGAGAAUAGAGAAGAAGCAAAUCACGCACGAACGAGAGGUUGGAGAAGACGAACGCGAGUUGAGGAACCCGAACAGAUAACGAGCCAGAGGUUGAGAAACCCGCUGUUAUUAUAAGACUAACGUCCAAGAUCUAUAUCCAGUCUGUGGUGUGGAUCUAUAUCAAAUAUGUGCGUCUUGGUGACGACGUUGUGAAGAAGUUAUUUGGUGGAUCUAUGUCAAAUAUGUGCGCCUUGGUUUGAUUCGAGCGGUGGUGGUGAUAGGGCAUUAUGUUUUGUUUAUCUUUUUAGUUCGCCUUGGUUUGAUUCGAGCGGUGGUGGUGAUAGGGCAUUAUGUUUUGUUUAUCUUUUUAGUUAUGGUUUGUUUGUCUCCGUGAGAUUGUUGAAUUGUCUCUUUUCUUGGGAGCGGUGUCUUCGGGUGUUUUUCAACUUUCCACUCUAUAAUUUACGAAUUAUUCAAUUAACCAAGGAAGGAACUACUGAUAAGAGAAUUUGUUGCUGUUGCCUUGAAUCACCUUGGACGCCGCUACUCGAAUUUAUAGUUCCUUGGAUAAAGAGGUUACUUGGAAACUCUUUGGUGACGUGAGCGUGUGCUAUAUGAACUGGACAACGCGGAGUAUAACGUAUGCGAAGGGUGCAUUUUAAUUCUGUUUGUGUAACGUUUUCUCAAACUCAUACAUAAGUGUAUUUAAUGUGUUCAAAAACUCUUUGUCUCCGUAAGGCUCGCAUAAAGGAUUUAAUGGGAAAUGAAAGAUUUAUUUUUCAUGUUUGAUAAUGCUGAAAAAGUAACUAGGAAAAACCACUUUAUUUCCUUUUCCAUGUUUAGUUUGUGUAAGAAUGUAAAACAAAAUUUGUCUUAUUUUUCAAUUAUACCCACAUUAGAUUAAAAACAAAAAAGAAUGCAUUUAAUACUAUAUUGUAAUUCUAAAUUGUUAAUAGAGACAAAAUGAUCAUUAAAAAGGUGCAUUUAAUGCUGGCCUUAGUUUCACAUGGGAAGGAAAAAUGAAAUCCAGGCAACUAUUUCAUUCCCCUUAUUUUCUUAUAUGCCAGACAACUAUUUUCCAUUUUUGGACUUACCGAACAUGGAAAAUCAAGAUUUUCCAUCUCAUUUCUUAUGAACCAAACACUCAUUUUGUUUUCUUUACAAGUAAAAGAUAGUACUUAUGUUAAAUAAAUAAAUUUAUGUGUGAGUAGAAUAUAUGCAGCACAAACCUGAAUGAGCAAGGCAAAAAGAAGAAGACAAGAAGGAAGGUACCUACCUGGUAUUCUCACGCUAUUGUUGUUGAAAAAGGGAAAGAAAAUACAGGUCGGUUUUCCACAUACUUUAUAAAAAGAAAUAAAAAAGCCAAAGAAAUUUAAGUCGUCUUUUUUAAGUGGUUCUCACGCUCAUUCAUUCUCUCUGCAAUUCCACUGCAUUCAGAUUGAUUAAUGUUCAAGUUUCCUUUUCUUUUCUUUUAAAAAAAAAAUUAAUUUAAUUUAAUUUUUAUAAUGAUAACUUUGAUGUAUACAACACAAAUUAGUUGGUACAAUUCAAUGUACCAAACAUAAAAAUACCUGGUAGUAUUUCUCUCUUGUCAAAAAGUUUGCGUUAAACACUUUUGUUUUUCUUUUCUUUUGUUUAAGAAAGUUGGGUUUCAUGAAAUUUGAACUUGACAUCAUUGUCUACAACAAAAUGAUACUACCGUCAAGUAUUUAAGAGUUAAUAAAAUAUCUAACAUCACUCUUCUUGCCCACUAAGGGAUCAGAGUGGUCCCGGCCCUCGUCACAAUAUAUUAAUAUAUUUUGUGAUAUUUUUAGAGUAUUUAUAAUCAUGUUCCUUAUUUUUCAGUUAAGAUUUGGUUAAAAACACAUAAAAAUUAUUUUAAGAGCUCUCUAUAAAAUUUGAACUCCAAUCUACUCUCUAGUUUAGGGAGUCAUAAAUAUUAUAGUUGUUUUAUUUUAUUUAUUUAUUAUUAUUAUUUAAUUCAAUAUGAUUGGUCCAUCUCUAUAAAAAAAAAUAGUUAGCAUUAAUUAAAAGUUUAAACUAUACAUAAAAUAAAGCAGCAUUAAAUUAUAGGGAGUCACUAGGAGUCAUUUCUCUCUCCUCAAAUUUAGGAGCUCCUAGAGGUCUCCAUAUUUUAGGAGGUGGAUAGGGAGCAUGGUUGGAGUUGUAUUUUUCGAAUGCAUCUCUAAAAUUUGUCUAAGGAGGUGGUUUAGGGAGCCCAUUGUGGAUGCUCUUAAUAUUUUAAGAGUCUCCUAUUCAAGUUUACCUCUUUUUUUAGAUCACUUUCCUUAAAAUUUAAUUAGUAUACGUAUUAUUAUUAUUUUUAUGCAAAUCCUUAAAAUCCAAGAGUCAUUUUCAACCAUUUCUUUGCUCUUAUAAGUAGGUUGGAUCACAUGAUUCACUAGUGCAGUAGUUUGGGGUAUUUACUCCCUCAGGCAAGGUCUUGGGUUCGAGUCUUAGCAUCCAUGUAGUGUGUAUAAGUUUAGUAUACUAUCGUCCCUCUCAAUAAGAAAGGUCUUUAAAAAAAAAAAAGUUGGACACCAUAUUUGUGACUUUGGUUUAUUAUGUUAUUCUUCAUAUGAUAUAAUAUGUAUUAUCAAGUUUCAAUUAGGUUGGAUGCUCUCUUGUUCAUGAGAAGAGUUGUGGGAAACAACUUUUAGAACCAAGGGUUUCUGCGCAGCUAGGGUUUUCAGUCUUGUCACUCUCAGACGUCGGCUCCUGAUGUUGCUCCCUUGACGUCUCCAGCCUCCAACGUUUGUGCGAAGUUGCCUAUUGCUGCUUUGCUCAUCAUCUCAGUAAGUUUCGUUAGUACACAAAACUCUUUGUUUGGUUUUCCCCCUUGUCUUUGGCUAUCGCAGACUUGCUCUCUUACGCAAGGAGAGCCGUGGAAAAAACACACAAAGCCUAGGGUUUGCUCUUGCUCGUUGACUUGUGGUUGUCGCUGCCUCCUUUCCUCUCUAUACGUUUUGUCCUGCUGAUUUUGGUUUCAUGGUAGGGUUUCUGUCGAUGGAAGAUUUAGGGUGCGACGGUUGAUUUUCGUUCUUGAGUGUGUUGGUGGGAGGAUGAGGAUCCUGGUUUUUGGUAAAGGGCAAGGUUUUGAUGAGACUAAGAAGUCCAAUGCUCGGGUGAUUAGCUUCUAUGACCAUCCUGGGCCUAGCCAGCGAUGCACAAGUAUGAGCCUUCGGAAGCAUCUCUGGAAACUGAGAUUGCUCACCGGAGUUGUCGCUACCUGGCUGAUGAUGGCUUGGAGAUUUUGCAGUGGCGCCCUUUCUAAUAUGGCUUAAGGAGACCGGUUUUGUGGGGCCUCUUGGGGGCCAACCUUAGUGUGCGGUUGGAGUGUUCGUGGGCUUGGCAUCCUAUGAAUGCUCUGUUCCCUAAAGCCUCAUUCUUAAGGUUAAGUGGCUGACGUGGGGUUUGUUUUGUGUGGUGUUUUAUGUUGUCUACCUCUCUAAAUGCUUUCCACUUUUGUGUUGUUCAACGGACUAUGGUUCUUUCAUAGGAGGUUUCUUUUGACAGUGUUAGGAUGCAACAAUGUGUUUUCUGAAGGGUUUUUCUUUGUUGUUGUCCUUUUGUUUUUCUCCCACUGUUGUGUUGACCCUUUGCAGCUGUUCUCUGCUCUACGCUGCACGAAGAACUAUGCUUGGUCAUAGAAGGUUUUUCUUUCUCAGGCACUGAGUUUGGUGGGCUUCUCUGGGGUUCCUCUUUGUUGUCGUCUCUUUUUUUUCUUCGCGUCUUCUCUUGUGUCUCCGACUCUUGGUGUGCGAUGUUGUUCUUGUGAUGUACAAAAGACUAUAAGUUCUCAUAGAAUGCUUCUUUUAACAGUUUGGUUGCAUUGCGGUUCUCUCUUGUGGGUCUACUGUGUUGGUGUCUAGUAAGUAUUUUUUUUUUCUGGUUUUUUGUAACGGUCCUAAGUAGCUUGGGUCAGACUCUCCUAUUAGUUCAUGGCAUGUGUGGUACUCUUUCUUACCCGGGAUUUGUCCCAUGUGAUUUUUCUAAGAAGUUUAUAACGAGGCCACUGUAAUCAUGUUGUUGUUUGUAUGCCAAUUAUGGUUUAUGAAUGAAAUCUUCUUCUCAAAAUUUUCAAUUGGUUUGACUCAAUUAAGGUUUGUUAAUCUUUCUCGUAUUUUUGAGUGUUUUCUCCACAUAUGGUUUGUUUGGGUUUGUGAAAUUUUGAUUUAAUAUCUAUUGAGCUCAAUUUAUGUGAGGUUACCAAAGAAAAAAAUUUGUAAAUAUUUUUUUAGGCCAGUUUGGCAUUGCUGUGCUAUGAAAAUAAUCGAAGUCAGAUUUGCUGUGAGAGAAAUCAGUUGUGGAAUAAAGCAAUUUGGCGUUUGGUAAACUUUUUGUUAAAAGUGUUGUUAGUACUGAUUCCCACAUAAUCAGAAAAUGAUUGCCGCAUAAGCAUUAAACCCAGCACCUUUUCGAAACUGAUUUCUGCAUAAUUAGAAAAUGAAAGCAUCUCAUUAGCUGUUUUCCCUUAUAACUUUCUCUCACAACAAUUUUUAACAAUAAGUGAUUUUCUCAUAGUUUACCAAAUGGGCUGAGCUUCUCAAAUUUUUUAAAAAAUCACUUAUCACCUCAAAUAAGCAAUGCCAAUCGGACACUUUAUAUAUGAUCCUUUCGGUCAGUGGCGGACCUGUGCAGCGCAAUGAGGUGCACUUGCACCUCCGGUCACCGGAAAAGUCCAUUACAACAGCUGGAAUUGCACCUCUGCUUUAGAAAUGAGAUGCACAGAACCCGUUCGACGAAAUGCUCAAACCGGCUGGGAGAGUUGAAUCGCUGUUCACAGUGCGCCUCCUUAUUAUUAUUUUUUUAAUACAGCCUGGCCAAAACGACGUUGUUUUGGACUAGGGUUUUAAAGAGGCGCUGAUGUGGUUUUUUUUUAUUAUUUAAAUUUUAAUUUUAACCUGGCCAAAACAACGUCGUUUUGGACCAGGGUUUUUUUUAUAAAAAAAAACUUAAAAAUGUAAGAAAACUGCUGCGCUGCUGGGCCAUUCUAUUGGGCUUUUUAAUUUAUAUUAUUCCUUACUUAAUUGGGUUUCCAUUUUUUAUAUUUCCUUACUUAAUUGGAUUUUUAGUGAGAGUUAUCUUUAUUCAAUUAGGUUUUGGGAAUUCCUUAUUUAAUUGUGAUUGAAAUUCUCUAUAUAAAGGACCAAUUUAUUCAAUUGUGUAUGCAUCACAAGAAUCCUACGUUUUUUUCUUCUUCUUGAGUAAUGGAAUGGUACUUUCAUAGAAAGAGUUUAAAUCCUCCUUCAAAUAAUCCGAGUUGUUCAAAUCCUCCCUCAAAUAAUCCAGCUAGUUCCAACCCUCCUUCAAAUAAUCCAGCUAGUUCAAAUCAACCUUCAAAUAAUCCGCCUACUUCACAUCCUCCAUUGAAUAAUUCGGGUAGUCCAAAACAUUCGCAAGUCACUGAGUUGGAUGAAAUAUUGGCUAAUCUUCCUGCAGACCCUGGACUUAGACCUCCAAUGAAUUAUUGUAAUCCCAAUUUUCGAGAACAAAUUCGAAGAGCCUAUCUGCAAAGGGGUCCUUGUCAGCCUAAAAGCCAAAACGACAUGCCUCAAACACUUAUGGGGGAGAGUAAUCGACUCUUUCUUGUGAAAUGGUUUGAUUCAUUUGUUUGGUUGGAGUAUAGUAAAGAGAAAGAUGUUGCAUUUUGUCUUCAUUGUUAUCUUUUUAAAUGCGACUUUGAUAAACAAGGAAAGGCUGGAAGCGAUGUCUUCAUUGAGAAAGGGUUUAAAAAUUGGAGGAAGGGACCCGAGAAUUUUAGGGACCAUGUUGGACAAGUUGGAAGUCUUCACAAUAAAGCUACACAACAUUGUACAAAUUUAAUAAAUCAGAAGCAACACGUUGAAACCAUUGUGAUCAAGUAGACAGACCAAGCUCGUAUUAAUUAUCGCAUUCUAUUAAUUGCUGCACUUGAUUGCACUAGCUAUUUCUUGCGACAAGGUCUUCCUUUUCGUGGCUAUGAUAAAAGCGAAACAUCUAGCAAUAAGGGUAAUUAUGUGGAGCUUUUGCAAUUUCUUGCCGAUCAUGAUGAGAAAGUUCGUGCCGUUGUGUUUGAAAACGCUCCAAGGAAUCUCAAGUAUAUUGCUCCUACAAUUCAAAAAGAUCUUAUCAAUUCUUGUGCCGCUGAAACCAUGGAUGCAAUUAUUAGUGAUAUGGACGAUGUAUUCUUUUCUAUAUUGGUAGAUGAAUCACGUGAUGUUUCAAUAAAAAGCAAAUGACAGUGGUGUUGCGUUAUGUGAACAAAAAAGGGCAAGUAAUUGAAAGGUUUGUGGCUGUCCAAUAUGUCUCUGAUACGACUAGUAGCAAAUUGAAAGAGGCAAUUGAGCAGUUGAUUUCUUCAACAAAUUUGAGCAUGUUCAGGCUACGAGGACAGGGGUAUGAUGGCGCUAGUAAUAUGAGAUGUGAGCUCAAUGGUCUUAAAACACAGAUUUUGAGAGAAUAUCCUCAACCAUAUUAUGUCCAUUGUUUUGCACAUCAACUACAACUAGCUCUUGUAGCCGUGGCAGAUGGAAAUGAAAACAUUGCUACUUUCUUCACAACAGCUAGUAGUGUUGCUAAUAUUAUUGGAGCAUCGUGUAAGCAUCGUGAUUGACUUAGAGAGCAACAACAAAAAGAUAUUAUGAAAACUAUUGAUGAUCUUGAAAUGGGGCGAGGGUUAAAUCAAAAGACUACUCUCAAACGUCCUUGUGAUACACGUUGGAACUCACAUUAUGAUACUUUACAUAGUAUUAAUAUUAUGUUUCAUCCCGUGGUGAAGGUGCUUGAAUGGAUUGUUGAUGAUGUCAACCAAGAUAAUUUAGGUAAAGCAAAUUGGUUGUUGAAAGAAAUACAAACUUUUGACUUUGUGUUUCACUUAUAUUUGAUGAGAUUUAUAUUGGGAAUCACAAAUGAUUUGUCAAAGGCAUUACAAAAGAAAGAUCAAGAUAUUGUGAAUGCGAUAAUGUUGGUCCAAAGAUAUAAGCAAAAGCUACAAUCCGUGAUGGAUGAUGACUUUGAUGAUUUGCUCAAGGAAGUAUCAAUAUUUUGUGGUAAAAAUGAUAUUGACGUUCCUAACAUGGAUGAUUUAUUUGUACCACAAGGGAGAUCAAGACGUAAAGCUCAGAAAAUCACAAACCGCCAUUAUUAUCGUGUGGACUUAGUUCUUACUAUCAUAGAUAAGCAACUAGUGGAAUUGAAUAAUCGCUUCACUGAGGUAAAUACUGAAUUGCUUCUUUGUAUGGCAUGUUUGAGUCUGGCUUAUAAUUUUGCAGCUUUUGACAAACAUAAAAUACUUCGUUUUGCUAAAUUUUACCAUCAAGAAUUUAAUGACCGAGACCUCAUGAAGCUUGAAGAUCAACUUGGGCUUUAUAUUGUUGAUAUGCAGAGCAUCACAGAGUUUUCAUCAUUGAAAGGAAUUACUGAUCUGGCAGAAAAAUUGGUGAAUACAGGAAGGAGUAGAAUAUACAACUAUGUGUAUUUACUUCUUACAUUUGCUUUAGUUUUACUCGUUGCAACUGCUUCGGUUGAGAGAGCUUUUUUAGCUAUGAAUAUUGUGAAAACACUAUUGCGUAACAAAAUAGGGAAUCAAUGGUUGAGUGAUAGCUUGGUUGUUUACAUUGAGAAAGAUGUUUUUUCUUGUAUUAGUAAUGCAAAUAAAAUGCGACGUUUUCAUGAUAUGAAACCUCGUCGGCAACAAUUGUAGGUCAAUUGUAAUGUUAUUAUUUUAAGGAUUAACGUCACUUUAGUCCCUGUAGGUUUAGUGUCAGUAUCGAAAUGGGCCCCAAGGUUUGAGUUUUAUCAAUUUCGUACCCAACAUUUCGAAAUAUUACCAAUUUACACCAGCCGUUACAUUGACCGUCAAAGUCAGACGUUAAAUGCUGACGUGGCAGUCGUGGGACCCACAUCAUAACCAAAUAGCUGUUAGAAAGCGACAUCACGAUGGGCAAUUUCGGAAGAAAAAAAUCGAAGAAAACGAAGAGUUCGCUUACCUGGGUUGGAAAAAUCGAACCAACUCAGUUUCUGAUUUGUGUUCGUGUUUUCGAGAGCAAAGGAGCGAGGAAAAAAGUGGAGGGAAACUGACGAAGAAGAUCCGAUUGGCUGGGCGAAAUGGAUGAAGAGGCGCCGAUGUGUUGGUGCGGAAAGGCUGCUACAAUUCGAACCUCUUGGACAGAUUCGAAUCCUGGGAGGCGAUUUUCCAUGUGUGCAGCCAAGGUACGUGAGACUAAGAGGGGUUUUAAGGGCUGUGAAUUUUGGGCAUGGUUUGAUCCGGCCAUGUGUGCACGGUCGAAGGCAGUGAUUCCUGGGCUUUUAAAAUCGCGGAAUAAGCUGGAGAAGUCAAUGGCAAUGGCAAGACAAAGAGAAAAGGUCGUUUGGGUGUUGUUGGUGGCUUCGUGGGUUCUAUUUGCAAGCAUCAUUUUGGGAGGGAUGUGUGGAUGUGGAGUAAACAAAAAGAGGAGCUUGGAAUUAGCUUUUGCCAUUGAAUGAAUGUAUUGUUAGUAGCAGUUUGUAAUGGUUUAAUUGUUAUGUAAGGGUUUAAGGGUUUAGGGUGUUAGGAUUAAGGGUUAUGGGGUAAGGCUUAAGGGCUUAUGGGGUAGGAUUAAGGGUUAUGGGGUAAGGUUUAAUUGUUAUGUAGCAGUUUAAUUGCCGACUUUUUUGUAACUUGAUGAAGUGAAUGGAAUGGCAAAAUUUGUAGAAAAUGGAAUGGCAAAAAUAAUGUAACAGGGAAGUUAGAAAAUAUUUAUCACCUGGAAUAAUGAAGUGAAUGACCAAAAUAAUGAAGCAAAGUGGCAACCCAAAAACUCAGAAAAUUCUGCAUUCAAAAUGGCUCAAAAUAACCAGAUAAUAACAUUGCAUAUCGUACAUAUUUCAUGUCCAUUCAAAUUCAUUCCAAAAUGGCAGUUUCAGUGGAUGUAUUUGCAUUCACAGUGGUUGAGGCUUAUGUGAAUGUAAUUACAUCCAUCAAAAUAAGUCAGCACUUAGUUAUACAUGACCAAUUGUUCAAAAACAAAAACCUCCUAAUCACAAACUGCCAGUCUAACAACAAAACGUGAAUAAUCAAAUAGCUUUUUCAGUGAGCUUCAAUGUACAACAUUUGAUCCUGCAGUUGAAACAGAAGUUGAUGCAUGAGGAAGCAAAGUUGAGGCUGGUUGUGCUUCAGAAGUGGCAUGUCCUUUCUUAGUUGGUUUUGGCUUCCCUUUUUGCACACGCCUUGGAGGCUUGGAUCUUUGCUUUAGGGUGCUUGGAUCACCAGCUAGAGUGGAUGCGUCAGAUGGAGUGGUCUACAACAUAAAAACUACAUCAGUUUGCAACAAACGCUUAGGGUUAUUAAAUUGAAAAAGAUUGAGUUGCUAUACCUGGGUAUUUUCAGUACCCCUCUUCCUCUUAGUUGCAGGUUUAGCUUUUGGGGGAAGAUUCCUAUGGCAAGUCCUCUUAUUGUGCCCUUUUUUACCACAUUGCCCACAUUUGAGAGAGUCCUGUGUGUUAGGAAUUCGAGACAAUGCAGUUUCAGAUUGGUUUCUUGAUGCUCUCAUCUUCAUCUUGCCCUUGUGCUCUUCCUGUUCUUUGGUUCUACAUUUUCUUGGCCUUCCAGGCUGUGUAGAGUAAGACGGAGGAAGACAUGGUGGAAAGUCACUCUUAUCCCACAUAUCCAUCCCAUGCAUAGGCAGUAUGAGAUUCUCAUAUGUCUUCAAGUAAGUUGAUUUCAAAUAGCAGUUAUCCACAAAAUCCAUGACAUUAAGACCCCCUUUAUAAUUUAUGGCUGCAAUAGCAUGAACACAAGGCCAUCUCUGCAAAUCCCAAGCUCUACAAGAACAAGUUCUCAAUUCCAAGUCCACAAUAUAUUGUGCAUGGCCACCAGCUGACACUUGGAAUUUACCUCCACCUGACCACAUUGCCACACAAGCACCUGCCUUGGCUUUAUUUCCCUCCACCUUCUUAAAUAUCCUUGGGCAGAUAGGCUUGUUCCAUGUCAGCAUUUUGUCCCUUCUUGCUUGUAUUCUCCUCAUCAGCAUACAUCUAAUAUACUCAAACAUUGACAGAAUUGGUCUAUCCCUACAUUCCAAUAUGGUAGCAUUGAAGGACUCGCAAAGAUUAUUCAACAACAUGUCACACUUCAAAUGAGUGUUGAAGUGUGACUUGGACCAAUGCCUUGGAGGUUUAUCUGGAGUGGUUAGCCAUUCAUAUGCAUCCUUUGACAGUUUUUUCAGGUCUUCCAUGGCCCUUGUAAAGUGGGGGACAGUGGUUGCAUAUGAUGCUUCCCAAAACUUGUCUCUGAGGCUUUUUGCUUUGAAAAGCACCCUAUAGUUGGAAAACAGGUGUCUUGCACAGAACCGGUGGUCACAAUUAGGGACCACUUGCUCAAAAGCAAGUACUAAACCUUUUUGUUUGUCGGAUAUAAAGGUGAAGCCAAAUUGAUUCACAAUCUCACAAUCCUUAACCAAUAGCUCCAGAAACCAAAUCCAAGAUUCCUUGCACUCUGAUUCCACAACUGCAUAAGCAAUUACCCAGGUUUCAUUAUUGGCAUCUACACCCACAGCAGUUAACAGUUGCCCUGCAUAAACACUCUUCAAAAAGCACCCAUCUAAACCUAUAAUAGGCCUGCACCCAGCUUUGAAGCCUUCCUUAGCAGCUCCUAAACAAACAUACAACCUUUGAAACUUUGGUUGCCCCACUUGUUGUUGGAAAUCACACUUAACCAUUGCUGUGGUUCCUGGGUUAGUCUUCCUUAAUUCCUCACAGUAAUCCCAAACUCUUGAAUAUUGUUCAUUGAAACUGCCCUCAAUCAGCUUUAGUGCCUUAUAUUUUGCCCUAUACACUUGUUGUCUUGACACCCAUGUAUUAUAAUCCUUCUCAACAGUCUCUUUGAAUGACUUGACUGGCCACUGGGGAUUGGACUUCAAACUGUGAACAUAUUUCUUGCUUAUCCAUGUUGACUUCACAGUAGGGUUCUCCCAUAGCUGUGUACAUGUGUGCUCACCUACAUAUGUCUUCACUUGCAAUGUGUUCUCAUGUUGCAUUUUUGAAGCAUAUAUCAUCCACUCACAAUCUGGGUCCCCACAAACUGCCUUCAGCUUCAAAGCCUCAUUCCUAAUAAACACUACAUCCCUAUUCUGCAAGAUGGAGUACUCUCUGACAGCUGCCCUAAACACCUUACAAUCACUAAACAACAGCCCAAUCUCAAACUUUGGAUCUACCAUGUCAGUUGCAGCAUUGAACUCUGGCCAAUUCUUAUCAACUUCCUCAUCAGAAUUAUACUUGGCAUAAUCCCUGCACUCAGAAUCCAAUUCAACAUCUGUAGGCCAAUCAGGAGCAGCCUCAUUCCCAGUUUCUUUAGCCCCUGUCCAUUCAGUUUGGUCAUCCACCCAUUCAUCAAAAAAAACAUCAUCUUCAUCUUCAUCUUCACUGAAGUUCUUGGGAAUCAUAUAAUCUGAGUCCUCACUAUCAGAAGCAUCAUCAUCCAAGCCUUCAAAGUUUGCAGCAUUUGCCAAACUUCUUCCACUUCUCAACAUCAUGGAAUCCCUUUGAAACUCGGUCCUGUAGCCAUCAACCCUUCCUUCCACAACUUUGUCUUUAUGGUGAACAGUCUUUGUCCUCCUCAAACUGCCACUUCUUUUUUUACCAAAUGCACGCUUCACCCUAUGUGACAUGUCAUCAACCUUGCCUUUGCCUUUAUCAGAACAACCUUGACUUGGCUUUUCUUUGCCCUUGUCAGAAUUCUCCUCAUUAUUCACAGUGACAUUUUCUUUGCCUUGUUUAGAAGCUUCAUCAAUCAAGCCAUCUUCAUUCAAGCCAUCUUCAUUCAACCCUUCUUCAUUCAACUCUUUGCCUUCUCCACAUGCUUCUUCAUUCAACUCUUCUAUUACAACACUUGUUUUUUUCACCUUUUGCACCUGGGAUACUCCCCCACCCACUGGAACAAUGGCACCACAAUUGUCAUCAAGCUCUUGAAUCACUACCCCACUGUUGGUCCCAAAUUCAUCAUCCAAAUUUAUGAAUAUGUUUGAACCCACUUGACUGUAAAACUGCUCUUGAGUGCAUGCCAAGACAUGUUCUAGGAAUAUAUUUAUCACCCUAGUGUCAGGCACAAAUACUAGCAUGUCUAAGACAUCUGUAUCUUCACUCAGCUUAACUAGGCCACCAUCAAAACUAUCACCUUGAAUACUGUACCAGUAGUUAAUCAAACCUUCGUGCCCUAACUCCUUGACCAUGGCAUCUAUCUCAGUCAUUGACAUUCUAUCUUUAUCACAAUAAUCAAACCAAUCCACAGACCCAUUCACAUAAUAGUUACCUCUUAUUUCACCAUUGUGGUUUGAAUAGAAAAUCCUGCCUCAUCCCCUGCAGGUCGAAAACCACACAUGAAUUUUACCAAUUUGACCCAAAACAAAAUACAUGUACUCCUGUUUACAAAUACAAAUACAAAUACACAUACAAAUACAAAUACAAAUACAAAUAUACAAAUGCAGAUAUACAAACACACAAAUACAAACACACAUAUACAAAUGUAUGUUUCUAUGUCAGUACACACAUAUACAAAAGGUAAGAUUCCCAAUGGUUGUAGGACCACAUACAAAAGCCAAUGUUUACUUCCGCAUACCACCUACCAUUCACACGAUUCCAUCUACCAAUUAAAUAGACACAGUGAUACCGACACCUAACUUGAAACUCACAAUCCAUUAUAAAAGCCAAACUUUCAGUCGACACCAAACUCGAAACUGACUCUAUUUGAAACUUUCACUCGAAAACAUCAUCUGCCAAUAACCUUACAACAGUAAGCCAUACGUACCAUAGAAAGGUUCUCCAUAUCCUUCCGGACGAAGUCCCCAACUCAUAUUCUUCAGAUCUUUUCGGAAACCUCCGUUUCGGUAUGAUUUUUGCAGUCUAUUUCAAAUUUUUGCACUCCAAAACACGAACAAACCCUCAAAACCUCUCCAACCUCUCCUCUAUGUCUGUCUCAGUACGAACACAACUCAGAAACUGAGUUGGUUCAAUUUUUCCAACUCAGGUAAUCGAACUCUUCCUUGGAACGCGUGCCAACUCUUCGUUUCCUUCGAUUUUUUUCUUCCGAAAUUGCCCAUCGUGACGUCGCUUUCUAACAGCUAUUUGGUUAUGAUGUGGGUCCCACGACUGCCACGUCAGCGUUUAACGUCUGACUUUGACGGUCAAUGUAACAGCUGGUGUAAAGUGGUAAUAUUUCGAAAUGUUGGGUACGAAAUUGAUCAAACUCAAACCUUGGGGCCCAUUUCGAUACUGACACUAAACCUCCGGGGACUAAAGUGGAGUUAAUCCUUAUUUUAAUUAAUUAUGAAUAACAUUAGUAUUGUUUAAAUUAUAAGGAUGUUUAGUUGUCUUGUUUUUUUUUUUUUUUUUGGGUAUUUUGUUUUGUUUUUGGGUUUUGAGCUCUUAGCUUUUAAAAAUUACACAUCCGUUGAAAAAUUCCUGGAUCCGCCGCUGUCUGUAUGCAUGGUGAUUGGUGGAUAAUGCACGUGAAUGCAUCAAACAACGGAGGUCAACCUUAUGCUUACAAUAUUAUAGCAAAAACAAAACUCAAAUGUUGUCGUCGAUAAAAUUUGAACUCCGGACAUUCUCCAAAAAUGUAAAAGCUGAAUGCCACUAAAUUAAAUGGUCGUAGAUUCACAGAUACAAAAUAAAAUGAGGAUAACGCGUGAAAGCUGCUAUGCUCUAUAAUCACGAAACAUGUGGUAUAUAUGCCUACCUUCUUUUGCGGAGCAACCUUCACUUGGAUGGGCUGAUAGGGAUGGCAAUGGGUCGAAUCGAGGGUGGGUAUGUCAUUCCCAUCCCCAUCCCCGUUAAGCUUUUUUCCCCCAUCCCCGCCUUCAUACCCGCAAUAUUCAUAUUGGGGAUUCCCCAUCCCCACCUUUGUUGGGGAAUGGGUUCCCCGACCCGUCCCAUUAGGGAAAAAAAAUCAAUAUAUAACUACUUUGUUAAAAGAAAAAAAAAACAUACUAAGGCAAGAUAAUGAAUACAAAUAAUACAUACUUACAAGACAAUAUAAGAAUGUUUAUAUAUGUGUUGGAAGUUAACUAAAUAAAUAAGUAUUAUGGCUUAAGAUUUGUAUAAGUUAUAUAAGUACAUAAUAUAAUAAUAUAAAAUAUAAAACUUAGUCGGUACAAUCACUUUAAUAGCAUAUUGAUAUACCUCAUAAACUAUAUAUAUAUAUAUAUUCCAAACGGGGAGGGUUCAGGUUGGGGAUUAAAAUAUCAUCCCCGCCCCUCCCCAAACACCAUACCCAAAAAAUUCCCCGUACCCAUCCCAAUUCCCGUGUUUGGUCCUUCAUACCUGACCCAUUAGGGUCGAAUCCCCACGAAGACCCUUACCCGGAGGGAAAAUUGCCAUCCCUAGGGCUGAGCAGUCCUCCCUAGAGGACUUCGUUCCUCAAGAUAUGAUACAAUUAUUAUUUGUUUAAAAUCUUUAUUUCAUUGUUAAAGGAUAACUACAACAUUGGGUUUUAUAAUUAAUUUGUGCCUAGAGACUCCAUGUGGGCAAAAUAUAUAAUAAACAAUUCUUUUGUUUUUUAAAUAAUAAAAAAUAUAAAAAUCAAUGUUCCUCUCUCUCCUCCCAGCCCCCAGCCCACCCGACUUACCCAGCCAACAAGUGCAACCCAGAUCUCCCCCACCCACUCCCCUUCACUGACGCAUCUCCCACACCCACCCACGACACACCUCCCCCUAGUUUUUGCCUGUUUGUUUCUCCCUCCCCGGCCCCCAAAAUUUUUUAAGGCUGUGGUGCUCAAAAUUUGGAUUUUGCAUAUACCGAUCUCACUAUUUCUCCAGUUGAAGAUUAACUAACGGUUUGUGUAACGAAGGGAGCAAAUUGUAGGGUUUCCGGAUGUUUGUAUAUGUACUCGUAAAUGUCUCUAAAAUUAGGUAUGAAGUUGAAAAUGACCUCAUAAUUUAGGGGAUUUUAUGUAGCUUGUCCAAAUAAUUUUUAACUAGUUAAAAAUAAUUUUCGGUGCUGGGAUUUGGACCAAGAAACUUGUUGGAAUUUAGGAGGUGUGCGAUGAGUGUUUGUGACGCUCCCAUACCACUUGUUAGAUUGUAAGUUGAUUGUGAGUGGUGUUGCUAUGAUACCAUUGUUGGUUUAUGUGUGAAGAGGUUUAGAACAAUAGGACAAUAGUUGAACAAAGUGAUUUUAUUAUAUUUGAAGGAGAAUGAUACAUAACUUGGUGUAGGCUAAUUGGCCUCCUUCCUAACUUAUAUAGGCUUAUUGGCCCUCUUUCUCUCUUAGCUUUAUGAGCUUAUUGGCUCCUCGGCAUAGCUUUCAAACCCUAGCCACCCCUCUAUGCUAGGGGAGGGGGAGGGAAGUUCACUGCCUUUCCUCCCCUCUCCUUCCUUCUCCUUUCUUAUAUCCUCUCAUCCGCUUCCACGCUCUUUUCUCUUGCCUUCCUUUGAGGGUUUGGUUGUGCUCUCUCCUCUAUUUUUUGUUGCCACAGAUCUCCUUAAAUCCCUCUCACCUUGUGUUGUCCUUUUGUUUUGCAGCUUUAUCUUGAUGUUAUUUAGAUUCUUUUUGCAGAUUUGUGGGUUUUGUGUGGCUGCGGUUUUUUCCUAAACCUGGGAUUCGACAGUAGUUUUCCUGUUUUCGUGGUGGCGACGACAACAACUCUACUUUCUGUCAUCUCCGGUUGGUUUUGCCUCUUUUUUUGGGUUGUAAUAAUUAUAUCAAAUCUCUUGUCAGUUGGGUGUUUUGUUUGUAGUUGAGUCUCUACUUGUAUUUUUACUUGUGAGAGUUUAAAAGUUGUAGUGAUAUUGGUAGUUUUCGGCGCUGUUGCCCACAUCUGAUUUGUUUAAGCUUGUGGCUUUCAAGUGGAAAUUUGUUUGGCUUUAUGCCACUAUUAGUGGAGAUAUACUUGUGUAUUUCUCUGGAAUAACUAUGCGUGGUUACUGUGCUUCCAUAUUUGCAUCAACCCUUUUUGGGUAGUUUAUGCCCUUAUGGCUGAUGGUCUUGGUGCCUAAGUUCUGAAUACGAUUAUCACUUACUCUCAAAAAAGAAGAGCAUAAUUUAUUAAAGUUGUGUAUUAAAAUAGGGAAUUCUGAAGAUUAACUUACAUUAUCAACUAUAUGCUGAAUCUAUUUACAUACAAAAACAAUGUUGCAAAUACUUACAUUAUCGACUGUAUGCUGUGCAACAAAGUUUUAAUUACAAUACUUUAGAAUAAUAAAAGAAUCCAAUAAAUUAUCAAAUAAAAGAAUGCAAACCAUGCCUGAUGCAUCCAGCCUGGGGGGAUUCCUUCAAAAUACUUCAACUGAAGUUCUUCUUAUGUUUUUUCAUCUUCAGAUAGCUGAAAAUGGGUUUCUCUGGUACAGGUAUAGACUUGACAACCCAACCAAUUGGCCAAGAAACAGCUGCAAUUCCAAUACAUGCACCCCAUUGCCCCCAAUUCAACCUCUCUGUAUCUGCAAACUUCUUGAGAAAUUCCACCAUCACCACCUGAAGCAGAAUUGUCACUGCAAUGAUCCCCAGAAACAAUUU